GACUCCUACGGGAGGCAGCAGUGGGGAAUAUUGCACAAUGGGCGGAAGCCUGAUGCAGCAACGCCGCGUGCGGGAUGACGGCCUUCGGGUUGUAAACCGCUUUCGCCUGUGACGAAGCGUGAGUGACGGUAAUGGGUAAAGAAGCACCGGCUAACUACGUGCCAGCAGCCGCGGUAAUACGAAGGGGGCUAGCGUUGUUCGGAAUUACUGGGCGUAAAGCGUACGUAGGCGGAUUAGAAAGUUAGGGGUGAAAUCCCAGGGCUCAACCCUGGAACUGCCUCUAAAACUCCUAAUCUUGAGUUCGAGAGAGGUGAGUGGAAUUCCGAGUGUAGAGGUGAAAUUCGUAGAUAUUCGGAGGAACACCAGUGGCGAAGGCGGCUCACUGGCUCGAUACUGACGCUGAGGUGCGAAAGUGUGGGGAGCAAACAGGAUUAGAUA
rnacentral:rRNA from 12 species